rnacentral:rRNA from 1 species
UAUUAUUUCAAUUGUGAUAUAAGAAGGACUGGAGUAGUAGUAGUUAAGUGCUUAAAACUCAAAGAAUUUGGCGGUAUCUUAGUCUUUUCAGAGGAAUCUGUUCUGUAAUUGAUAAUACACGUUAAAUAAUACUUAAUCUUGUAAAGAUCAGUUUGUAUACCGCCGUCAUAAGAAUAUUUUUUAAGAGUAGGAAUUUUCUUGAUAUUGUAAGAUAAUAUGUCAGGUCAAGGUGCAGUUUAUGGUUAAGGAGAAAUGGAUUACAAUAAAAUUAUUUAUAUGGAUUUUAAGUUGAAAUUGUGAAUGAAGGUGGAUUUGAUUGUAAUGUUAUAUUGUUAUGGUAAUAUGAUUCAAGCUCUAGGAUAUGUACACAUCGCCCGUCACUCUCGUUAUCAGAUGAG